rnacentral:rRNA from 1 species
GUAGGUGGCAAGCGUUGUCCGGAAUUAUUGGGCGUAAAGCGCGCGCAGGCGGUCCUUUAAGUCUGAUGUGAAAGCCCACGGCUCAACCGUGGAGGGUCAUUGGAAACUGGGGGACUUGAGUACAGAAGAGGAAAGCGGAAUUCCAAGUGUAGCGGUGAAAUGCGUAGAGAUUUGGAGGAACACCAGUGGCGAAGGCGGCUUUCUGGUCUGUAACUGACGCUGAGGCGCGAAAGCGUGGGGAGCAAACAGGACUAGAUACCCUGGUAGUCCACGCCGUAAACGAUGAGUGCUAAGUGUUAGGGGGUUUCCCGCCCCCCUUAGUGCUGCAGCUAACGCAUUAAGCACUCCGCCUGGGGAGUACGGCCGCAAGGCUG